UUGCAGCCCGACUUGAGCGGAGCUCUUUUUGUCAUUGCGAUUGCGAAUAGUUCAACAGAUUGCUUCACUUCGUUCGCAAUGACAAAAAAGCGGGAGCGGAAGGCGGAUUAAGC
rnacentral:sRNA from 1 species